rnacentral:rRNA from 1 species
UACGUAGGGGGCAAGCGUUGUCCGGAAUCAUUGGGCGUAAAGCGCGUGUAGGCGGCUUGGUAAGUCUGCUCUGAGAGCCCGGGGCUCAACCCCGGGAGGCGGGUGGAUACUGUCAAGCUCGAGUCCGGAAGAGGAGUGUGGAAUUCCUGGUGUAGCGGUGGAAUGCGCAGAUAUCAGGAGGAACACCGGUGGCGAAGGCGGUUCUCUGGGCCUUACCUGACGCUGAGGAGCGAAAGCGUGGGGAGCGAACAGG